AGCCAUGCAUGUCUAAGUAUAAGCAAUUAUACCGCGAAACUGCGAAUGGCUCAUUAAAUCAGUUAUCGUUUAUUUGAUAGUUCCCUACUACUUGGAUAACCGUGGUAAUUCUAGAGCUAAUACAUGCAAAAAACCGCGACUUCGGAAGCGGUGUAUUUAUUAGAUUAAAGACCAAUGCCCUUCGGGGCUGACUGGUGAUUCAUGAUAACUUCUCGAAUCGCACGGCCUUGCGCCGGCGAUGGUUCAUUCAAAUUUCUGCCCUAUCAACUUUCGACUUUAGCGUAGUGGGCUAAAGUGGUUACAACGGGUAACGGAGGGUUAGGGCUCGACCCCGGAGAAGGAGCCUGAGAGACGGCUACUACAUCCAAGGAAGGCAGCAGGCGCGCAAAUUACCCAAUCCCGACACGGGGAGGUAGUGACAAUAAAUACUGAUACAGGGCUCUUUUGGGUCUUGUAAUUGGAAUGAGUACAAUUUAAAUCCCUUAACGAGGAACAAUUGGAGGGCAAGUCUGGUGCCAGCAGCCGCGGUAAUUCCAGCUCCAAUAGCGUAUAUUAAAGUUGUUGUGGUUAAAAAGCUCGUAGUUGAACCUGGGCCUCGCGCAGACCGGUCCGCCUCACCGCGUGCACUGGUCCUGCCGGGGCUUUCACUAGGGGAUUCGCAUGCCCUUCACUGGGCGUGCGCGGAACCUGGACCUUUACUGUGAAAAAAUUAGAGUGUUCAAAGCAGGCCUAUGCUCGAAUACAUUAGCAUGGAAUAAUAGAAUAGGACGUGUGGUUCUAUUUUGUUGGUUAUGGGACCGCCGUAAUGAUUAAUAGGGACAGUCGGGGGCAUCAGUAUUCAAUUGUCAGAGGUGAAAUUCUUGGAUUUAUUGAAGACUAACUACUGCGAAAGCAUUUGCCAAGGAUGUUUUCAUUAAUCAGGAACGAAAGUUAGGGGAUCGAAGACGAUCAGAUACCGUCGUAGUCUUAACCAUAAACUAUGCCGACUAGGGAUCGGGCGAUGUUACUUUUUGACUCGCUGGCACCUUACGAGAAAUCAAAGUUUGUGG
rnacentral:rRNA from 1 species